UUAAUAAAAAUCGGCGUGUUGCUCUUUUGUGACGCUCCGGAGUUUGGGUCAUCUUAUAACGAUACCUUUCGAGGUUGUUUUAAGAGGCUUAAAAUUGACAUUUUUUUGCGCAUUUUAGACGUACAUAAAUUUUUUUUAUUCGUUUAUUCUAAUGCCAAAAUCUAUUAGAUGCGACCAUAUCGUGUGGUUCCGUGUCUAUAAAUUUUUCAUG
rnacentral:misc_RNA from 1 species